CUUCCGACUCUUCUAGCCAUAUCAGCUCAAAGUAAUGCCAUUCAUGCAUUCCCAAUAAGAGAAGCAACCAUCAAGGAUCUCCAGCUCGCUUUCAAGCAAAACAAGCUCACGUCCCGGCAGCUGGUUGAAUUUUACCUCGGAGAAAUCCACAGGCUCAACCCGCUGCUUCACGGCGUCAUAGAGGUGAACCCCGAUGCACUAUCCCAAGCUGAUAAGGCUGACUACGAGCGCAAGGUUAAGGCAGCAGGCUCACUGCGGGGCUUGCACGGGAUUCCUAUUCUUCUUAAGGAUAACAUUGCAACGAAGGACAAGAUGAACACCACUGCUGGCUCGUAUGCUCUGCUCCGCUCAGUCGUGCCCCGGGAUGCUGGUGUGGUGGUGAAGUUGAGGAAAGCUGGUGCCAUUAUUUUGGGAAAGGCCAGCUUGAGUGAGUGGUCUAACUUUAGAUCCUCCAAAGCACCCAGUGGUUUCAGUGGUAGGGGGGGCCAGGGAAAGGUGAGCUUAAAGUUAGUCAGCUACUUGGUUUUAUGCUAUAAACUACCUAUUGCUAUUAAGGCAAGUUUGGUAUUUACCUUCCAUUUUUUUGGAAAAAUAAAAAGAAUAAAACUAAAUUUGUAUUCUGUAAAAUGAUUGGAAACACGUGACCUCUUAUCUUAAUCAACAAGUAGUAAUUAAACAAUACUCUUUGUGUUCAAUAAUAUCUUAUACUAUAUACUCAAAAGAGAUUUUACUAGUUGAACCAACUAAUAAGUCAAAUACCACACCAAUCCGAAAAUUUGACUAAGAUGGUGUCUGAAUCCGAAAAUUUGACUAAGAUGGUGUUUGAUUACUCACAGAAAAAAUUCAGACAAAACGGCAUUUUUAUCUAGUAAUUUUAAAUAAAGUGUUUGUUGGGGGACUUAACAUAAGAUUUCUAAGUAUCCAACUUAAAAGACUAGCCUUUUAGGUGGAGUGACCUACUACCUUAUAAACCCAAGCAUCUCCCCUUUACUAACUAAUGUGGGACACAACUCAAUAAUGUUUAACUAUCUAGUACUGCAAUUUUGAAGUAAAUAUUCUCACUUAGUAGAUUUGUUAAAUUUUUUUAUUCUAUUAUUGUUUUCUACGAGACAAGUACACAUUCUACUGUUUUGGAGAUUUAAUAUGGAUUAAUGACAACACCAAAUUCUACUUUAUAAUCUGAAAACGAGGACUGAACAACAGAACAAGGUUUGGCUUUGGCAUAUUAGGACUUAUUUUGGUGAUGCUAAUGUUUGCAGAAUCCAUAUGUUCUAUCAGCAGAUCCUUGUGGGUCAAGCAGUGGCUCAGCAAUUUCAGUAGCUGCAAACUUGGCUGCCGUGUCACUGGGAACUGAAACGGAUGGUUCCAUUCUAUGUCCGUCCAGUUCUAACUCAGUAGUGGGACUCAAACCAACCCUUGGUCUCACCAGCAGAGCCGGCGUUAUCCCAAUAACUCCUAGACAGGACUCCGUUGGGUGUGUGGAACCUUUGCCAAUAUGAACUGAUGGCAUUUAACAUUAAUUGAAAAAUAAAGGAACAUUUUUUUUUUCCUCGCAGACCUAUUUGCAGAACUGUAGCGGAUGCUGCUUAUGUUCUAGAUGCCAUUGCAGGAUUUGAUCAUUACGAUCCUGCAACAAGGGCAGCAUCAGAGUACAUUCCACGUGGUGGCUACAAACAGUUUCUUAGGCCUCAUGGACUCAAAGGGAAGAGAUUGGGAAUUGUGCGGAAUCCAUUCUUCAAUUUUGACGAGGGCUCUCCACUGGCUCAAGUUUUUGAUCACCAUCUGCACACACUCAGGUUGAAUUAUGCAUAAAAGCAUUUUUGUUAUUCCAGCCUACUUUUGCAGUAAAUUAAGUGACUAAACUAAAGACAAAAUGAAAUAAGCAAAAAUGCAGCAAAAUUAUUUUCGUUAUUCCAGCAUACUUUUGCAGGCAUUAUAUGCAAAGCCAUUUUACUAUUUUACAGGUAAGAUUAACUGAUUAAGCCUAGGACAAUACAAUAGUUUUGAGGUUUCGUCUUCGUUCUCAAUGAAUCACCGCCCUUUAUCUUCAACGUUCUCAUGUAUCCUCCAAGAAUCUUCUAGAAUGUUUUUCUUCUGUUAAUGUAAGAGUUUCAUCUGCUGCCAAAUUCAAAUUAUGUUUUUACUGCUGAAAUAGUCUCACUGUGGCAUUUCAUCAAACAUUUCUUCUCUUUCAUCAAACACUUGAUCUUUAACUCGAAUGAAUGUCAAUGACACUUGAUUUUCCUCCAAUCUAGACAGGAAGGUGCACUUGUAAUCGACCAUCUGGAGAUAGGCAACAUUAAUUCACUAAAUUCUAUAGCAAAUGACGAAACGACAGCAAUGCUGGCCGAGUUCAAGUUGGCCAUAAAUGCAUAUCUCAAGGAGCUUGUGACUUCCCCAGUGCGAUCUUUGGCAGAGGUUAUAGCCUUCAAUAACAAAUUCUCAGAUUUGGUAAGUACUCUUCAUCAUUUGAGCAUGCAUACAUGUCUUGGUAAUUGUAUCAACUUUGGUAAUAAUUCCGAUGACACGAAUGUAUCUAACCAUACAUGCAGGAAAAGAUCAAAGCAUACGGCCAGGACUUCUUUCUGUUAGCAGAAGCAACAAAUGGAAUCGGCAAAAAAGAGAAGGCGGCAAUACUGAAUUUAGAAAAGUUUACAAGAGAUGGUUUUGAGAAGCUGAUGACCAGGAACAAGCUUGACGCAUUGGUGACACCAGGAUAUGCUGUUUCUACGCUUCUGGCAGUCGGUGGGUUCCCAGGAAUCAAUGUUCCUGCUGUAUAUGCUGGUGAUGGUGAACCUUUUGGCAUUUGUUUUGGAGGAUUGAAGGGUUCAGAGCCAAAGCUCAUUGAGGUUGCCUAUGGCUUUGAGCAAGCUACCAAAAUUAGGAAGCCUCCUUCAUUCAAGUCUUGAAUAUCCAUUUUCGGGGCUGUUGACUGUACAAUGAUUAAACCCCCCUACUAUCGUAAUGCAGGGGUAACUUGAACUUUUAGAUUCUAUCAAAUAAAAUUCAACCGUUUUUAUUGAUAUAAAUUAUAAAGUUAAUAACUAUGGUGGGUGUGAUUGGCUUCCCUUUUCUGGAAAAUCCCAUUUAAUCAAUUUUUUUAAUAUCAUAAAAUCAACUAAUUAAUUAAAAACUCAUAAUUGAAUUGACCUGUUCUUUUUUUUUUUUUUUUUGGUUAAUUAGGGUUAAGGUAUUCUGUCAAUGGAUAAAGAUGGUCAAGUGAUAUAAUAAGAAUUUAUGGUGCAUUUAUUUUAUGGAAUGAGAAUAAAAUGAAAUGGAAAUGAAUUGGGAAUAGGAAUGAGGAAUGAGAAUGAGAUUAUAUAAUGUUUAAUUGGAAAAAAUAAAUGUGAAUGAGAAUGUGUUGGAAUGUCAUUGAUGUGUUUCCUUGGUAAAAUAAAUAAGAAUGAGGAAUGGAAAUGAGAAUUAAUUUACCAAAAUACUCAUAAUAUUAAAUAAGAAAAUUAUUCAUCGUACAUUCGUUUUUUCUAACUUUUUAAAAAUACACAAUUCUUUUUUUUUUUUGGCUGAAAUCCACCUGAAAUUAUAUUUCUUUUCACUUGUCCACUUCAGUUCGGAGACCGUUAAGAAAACUAACGAAAUAUUGUGUAAAUAACUUUUUUACCUUCAAAUUUAAAAGAUAAAUUAUCCAUCGACCACCUAUUUUUCGUAUUAUUUCAAAAACACACAAUUCUUAAUUUUUGUUUGUUGAACUUCACUUGAAGUUAUAUUAUUUUGCACUUGUCUACCACUGUGUCGUUGUGAAAUGAUAAUUUUACCCUUAUGAUAUCAGCAAAGUUCUAACGGUGUUAUAACAAGAGUGGGCUAAUGAAAAAAAUUUUAACUUCAGGUGGAGCACUGCAAAAAAAAAAGGUAAUUCGGUAGAUAAUUUUCAUUUUUGAAAAACUGUGAAAAAAUGGGUGGACGGUAAAUAAUUUUCCUAUUAAAUAAUGUAAUUUUCAUUAACUAGAUGCAUGUAUAAAUAUUAUUAUAAAAAUUAUAUUAAUUAAAAAAAUAAAAAAAAAUAAAAAUAAUAAUAAAUGUUAACAAUGAUAAUAUUAAUAAAAAUAAUUAAUAAUAACUAAAAUAAUAAAUUUAAUAAAAUUUAAUAAUAAUAAUAAUAAUGACAUUUAAAAUAAUAAAAUUAAUUGUAAUUUGAAUGAAGGUAGUUCAGAAAAUAUGAAAAAAUUAGAGGGUUAUAAAAGUCAUUUCAGAAAAUGAGAAUCCCCAUUCCCAACCCCCAUGGAAAUGAGAUUCCCAAUCCUUAUUUUCAAAUUUUGUGGAACCCGCAUAUUUUAUUUUUAUUUUUAAAUUAUAUUUUACCAAAUAAAUAUAUGUUUCAUUCCUAUUCCCUAAACCUUCAAGUAAAAAUACCAUUAAUAAUGCAAAAUAAUGGUUAAACGAAUAAACACCAUGCUACAAAUAAAAUAACAAUAAAGAAAAUACAAAGGAAUUAAAGUGCUACUCUCAGGCCCUCGAAGGCAAUGUAUAUUCAUAUGAUUGAUACUUUGCAAAAUGGGUAUUUUUGUGAAUUUGUUUACUUUUUUAUGCAAUUUCUUUGUUGACUUUUUAGAAAGUUAAAAUUGAUAGUCAUUAUACAGAUAAUUAAAUUUUAAUCAUAUCUUAUUAUAAAUGUACGCCAGACAUAAUAUUAUUAGAACAUCGUAAUUGGAUUCAAAUUUUCAAUGGUGACCUAAUUAUAUUUUUUUAAUAAUUAUGGCAUUUAUAACAAUUAACGGUUAAAAUUUAAUAAACUAUGUAUUCUCUUAUCAAGAGAAUUAUUCAGUCAACUUCAUCGUUGCAUCGCCAAUGACUCAAUACAUAAAUAUACACACACGCACAUAUGUGUUGCACGUUUUGUUUUUGUUUUUUGGGAUAGAACUCAAUAUGUUACAUGCAACACGGUUGUACAAAUAGACCGAGCAUUCAAUAAUCAAUAUCUUCCUAUAUUGAUUAUAUGUUAUAUAAUUAUAUAUAUUAUAUACAAUUAUAUUGUUUAACAAAGACUGCCAAUAAUAAUGUGUCAUUGACCUUUCCUUACUUUUCACAUCUACUCCUGAUUCUUCUAGCCAUGUCAACCGAUCGAUCCGACGAUGAAUUCCCAAUAAGAGAGGCAACUAUCAACGAUCUCCAGCUCGCUUUCAAGCAAAACAAGCUUACGUCCUGGCAGCUGGUUGAAUUUUACCUCGGAGAAAUCCACAGGCUCAACCCGGUGCUCAACGGAGUCAUAGAGGUGAACCCUGAUGCACUAUCCCAAGCUGAUGAAGCUGACUGCGAGCGCAGGGUUAAGGCACCAGGUUCACUGCCCGGUUUACAUGGGAUUCC
rnacentral:lncRNA from 1 species